CAGAGGGUGCAAACGUUGCUCGGAAUCACUGGGCGUAAAGGGCGUGUAGGCGGGAAUGUAAGUCGGGCGUGAAAGCCCCAGGCUCAACCUGGGAACUGCACUCGAAACUGCGUUUCUUGAGUAUCGGAGAGGAAGGCGGAAUACCUGGUGUAGAGGUGAAAUUCGUAGAUAUCAGGUGGAACACCAGUGGCGAAGGCGGCUUUCUGGACGAUUACUGACGCUGAGACGCGAAAGCGUGGGGAGCAAACAGGAUUAGAUACCCUGGUAGUCCACGCCGUAAACGAUGAGUGCUAGGUGCUGUGGGUAUUGACCCCCGCGGUGCCGAAGCUAACGCAUUAAGCACUCCGCCUGGGAAGUACGGUCGCAAGACUA
rnacentral:rRNA from 1 species